UAUGAAAUAAAGGUUUAUAAAUUAUGCAAAUGGAUUUCACAGCUCUUUCAUCAAUCUGCUGCUCAAGAAUUAUGAGUUCUUAAUAAUACAGAGAAUUAAUUCUGGAGUCCACAGUUCCCCAAUGAAUGCUCUGUUUAUCUACUAUUGCGAUGUAUAGGACAUCACAUCAAGGAACAAAGCCACAGCUACAAAUGGUCAGACCAACAGGAAACUGCAGGUUUACAGGAACUCGAAACUGCCGCACUUGAGGAAGGCAAAGGAGCAGAGAGGUUGAGAAGAUGAAUGCCACAGCUUACAGCCGCCUUCUUCACUCCAGAAACUUCCUGAACACUUUGGUACCAGCGGGCCAGAAAGGGCAAAGUUUUCAGCGUCUUGUCUCGACAAUCCCCAAGAGAAAC